UGUGAAAGAUCUCUAUCAAGCCUCACAGAGAAUUUGAGGCAGCUGGCAGUUAUCAGCUGAAGCAGGUAGUCAGUAGAAGUGCAAAAGAUAAAUAGAUAAUUGAAAACCAAUCUGGAAACCUGGGAGAGAUAAUAAGCCUCUCUUCUAGAAGGGAGCCAACAACUCAGAAAAUAUUUUCCUCCCGAAGUUCCUCACUUCAAAUGGAUGCAUUUUAGAGCUUCUCUUAUCUGAUGUCAUGAUCUUUUUCUACUGAAAUGGGAUUGCUUCAUCUCUACAACAUAACAAUGGCCAUGAACAAAGACUGGUUCAUAGGUGUUCUUUUCUGCUUCCAAGGAAAAGGAUGGGCAAAGGAGGAGCAUAAUUUGCAUUGCCUUUCUUCAGAAGGGAGUUUACAGCUCUAGUCUUGAGUUAAACAGCCAUUUAUGCUGAAGAACAUGUAGCCCAGAGCUCUGCCUGUCAUCUUU
rnacentral:lncRNA from 1 species